rnacentral:rRNA from 1 species
GAUGAACGCUGGCGGCGUGCCUAAUACAUGCAAGUCGAGCGAACGGACGAGAAGCUUGCUUCUCUGAUGUUAGCGGCGGACGGGUGAGUAACACGUGGAUAACCUACCUAUAAGACUGGGAUAACUUCGGGAACCCGUGGCUAUUACCGACAAUAUUUUUAAACCCCAGGGUUCAAAAUUGAAAGACGGCUUUGCUGUCAUUUUUGAUUGGUUCACCGUGGCUUAGCUAGUUGGUAAGGUAACGGCUUACCAAGGCAACGAUGCAUAGCCGACCUGAGAGGGUGAUCGGCCACACUGGAACUGAGACACGGUCCAGACUCCUACGGGAGGCAGCAGUAGGGAAUCUUCCGCAAUGGGCGAAAGCCUGACGGAGCAACGCCGCGUGAGUGAUGAAGGUCUUCGGAUCGUAAAACUCUGUUAUUAGGGAAGAACAUAUGUGUAAGUAACUGUGCACAUCUUGACGGUACCUAAUCAGAAAGCCACGGCUAACUACGUG